AUUGAACGCUGGCGGCAGGCUUAACACAUGCAAGUCGAGCGGGGUGAUGGUGCUUGCACUAUCACUUAGCGGCGGACGGGUGAGUAAUGCUUAGGAAUCUGCCUAUUAGUGGGGGACAACAUCUCGAAAGGGAUGCUAAUACCGCAUACGUCCUACGGGAGAAAGCAGGGGAUCACUUGUGACCUUGCGCUAAUAGAUGAGCCUAAGUCGGAUUAGCUAGUUGGUGGGGUAAAGGCCUACCAAGGCGACGAUCUGUAGCGGGUCUGAGAGGAUGUACCGCCAACGUGGGACUGAGACACGGCCCAGACUCCUACGGGAGGCAUCAGUGGGGAAAAUUGGACAAUGGGGGGAACCCGGAUCCAGCCAUGCCGCGUGUGUGAAGAAGGCCUUAUGGUUGUAAAGCACUUUAAGCGAGGAGGAGGCUCUUUUGGUUAAUACCCAAGAUGAGUGGACGUUACUCGCAGAAUAAGCACCGGCUAACUCUGUGCCAGCCGCCGCCGUAA
rnacentral:rRNA from 1 species